ACACUCCUGCGGGAGGCAGCAGUGGGGAAUUUUGGACAAUGGGCGAAAGCCUGAUCCAGCAAUGCCGCGUGAGUGAAGAAGGCCUUCGGGUUGUAAAGCUCUUUUGUCAGGGAAGAAACGGUGAAAGCUAAUAUCUUUUGCUAAUGACGGUACCUGAAGAAUAAGCACCGGCUAACUACGUGCCAGCAGCCGCGGUAAUACGUAGGGUGCAAGCGUUAAUCGGAAUUACUGGGCGUAAAGCGUGCGCAGGCGGUUUUGUAAGUCUGAUGUGAAAUCCCCGGGCUCAACCUGGGAAUUGCAUUGGAGACUGCAAGGCUAGAAUCUGGCAGAGGGGGGUAGAAUUCCACGUGUAGUAGUGAAAUGCGUAGAUAUGUGGAGGAACACCGAUGGCGAAGGCAGCCCCCUGGGUCAAGAUUGACGCUCAUGCACGAAAGCGUGGGGAGCAAACAGGAUUAGAAACCCCAGUAGUCCCAUG
rnacentral:rRNA from 1 species